rnacentral:rRNA from 1 species
GACGAACGCUGGCGGCGUGCUUAACACAUGCAAGUCGAACGAUGAACCCGGAGCUUGCUCUGGGGGAUUAGUGGCGAACGGGUGAGUAACACGUGAGUAACCUGCCCUGGACUUUGGGAUAAGCGUUGGAAACGACGUCUAAUACCGGAUAGGACCUUGGAUCGCAUGAUCUGGGGUGGAAAGUUUUUUCGGUCUGGGAUGGACUCGCGGCCGAUCAGCUUGUUGGUGAGGUAAUGGCUCACCAAGGCGUCGAAGGGUAGCCGGCCUGAGAGGGUGACCGGCCACACUGGGACUGAGACACGGCCGAGACUCCUACGGAAGGCAGCAGGGGGGAAUAUUGAACAAUGAGCGAAAGCCAGAUGGAGCAACGGCGCGUGCGGGAUGACGGCCGUCGGGUUGUAAACCGCUUUUAGUAGGGAAGAAGGGCUUCGGCUUGACGGUACCUGCAGAAAAAGGACCGGCUAACUACGUG